GCAGAGUAGGAAUGUGUGCGUUAAGUGCCGCGGGGACGGGGAGUUGCCGCGCGGACGAAGGAAGGGUUUAGAAGAAACCUUCCGCGGUAUACGUUCCGCAUCCCGCUGC
rnacentral:ncRNA from 1 species